rnacentral:rRNA from 1 species
CCCUUAGAUGUUCUGGGCCGCACGCGUGCUACGCUGAGUGGAUCAGCGGGUCAGGUUGCGCGAAAGUGUUUCCUAAUCUUGAAAUCCGCUCGUGAUGGGGAUUGACGGUUGCAAUUUUCCGUCAUGAACGAGGAAUACCUUGUAAGCGCGGGUCAUCAUCCCGCGCUGAAUACGUCCCUGCCCUUUGUACACACCGCCCGUCGCUCCUACCGAUUGAGUGGUCCGGUGAGGCUUUGGGAUCUGAGCAAAAAGAGCGUUUCGCUCGUUUGGCUCGGAAAACUCAGUCGAACCUUAUCAUUUAGAGGAAGGAGAAGUCGUAACA